CAUUAGAUGACUGAAAGCAAGUACUGGUCUCU
rnacentral:tRNA from 5 species